AUUGAACGCUGGCGGCAUGCCUUACACAUGCAAGUCGAACGGUAACAGGUCUUCGGAUGCUGACGAGUGGCGAACGGGUGAGUAAUACAUCGGAACGUGCCUAGUAGUGGGGGAUAACUACUCGAAAGAGUGGCUAAUACCGAAUGAGAUCUACGGAUGAAAGCAGGGGAUCGCAAGACCUUGUGCUACUAGAGCGGCCGAGGGCAGAUUCGGUGGUUGGUGGGAUAAAAGCUUACCAAGCCGACGAUCUGUAGCUGGUCUGAGAGGACGAUCAGACACACUGGGACUGAGAAGCGGCCCAGACUCCUACGGGAGGCAGCAGUGGAGAAUUUUGGACAAGGGGCGAAAGCCUGAUCCAGCAAUGCCGCGUGCAGGAUGAAGGCCUUCGGGUUGUAAACUGCUUUUGUACGGAACGAAAAGCCCCGGGUUAAUACCCUGGCGUCAUGACGGUACCGUAAGAAUAAGCACCGGCUAACUACGUGCCAGCCGCCGCCGUAA
rnacentral:rRNA from 1 species